rnacentral:rRNA from 1 species
GACGAACGCUGGCGGCGUGCCUAAUACAUGCAAGUCGAGCGAAGUUUCUCUGGUGCUUGCACUAGAAAAACUUAGCGGCGAACGGGUGAGUAACACGUAAAGAACCUGCCUCAUAGACUGGGACAACUAUUGGAAACGAUAGCUAAUACCGGAUAACAGUAUUUCUCGCAUGAGAGAUAUUUAAAAGUUGGUUAUGCUAACACUAUGAGAUGGCUUUGCGGUGCAUUAGCUAGUUGGUGGGGUAAAGGCCCACCAAGGCGACGAUGCAUAGCCGACCUGAGAGGGUGAUCGGCCACACUGGGACUGAGACACGGCCCAGACUCCUACGGGAGGCAGCAGUAGGGAAUCUUCCGCAAUGGGCGAAAGCCUGACGGAGCAACGCCGCGUGAGUGAAGAAGGAUUUCGGUUCGUAAAGCUCUGUUGUUAGGGAAGAAUGGAUAUGUAGUAACUAUACAUGUAAGAGACGGUACCUAACCAGAAAGCCACGGCUAACUACGUG